CCUACGGGCGGCAGCAGUGGGGAAUAUUGGACAAUGGGGGGAACCCUGAUCCAGCCAUGCCGCGUGUGUGAAGAAGGCCCUCGGGUUGUAAAGCACUUUCAGUGAGGAAGAACGCCUGGUGGUUAAUACCCAUCAGGAAAGACAUCACUCACAGAAGAAGCACCGGCUAACCCCGUGCCAGCAGCCGCGGUAAUACGGAGGGUGCGAGCGUUAAUCGGAAUUACUGGGCGUAAAGCGCGCGUAGGUGGCUUGAUAAGCCGGUUGUGAAAGCCCCGGGCUCAACCUGGGAACGGCAUCCGGAACUGUCAAGCUAGAGUGCAGGAGAGGAAGGUAGAAUUCCCGGUGUAGCGGUGAAAUGCGUAGAGAUCGGGAGGAAUACCAGUGGCGAAGGCGGCCUUCUGGACUGACACUGACACUGAGGUGCGAAAGCGUGGGUAGCAAACAGGAUUAGAUACCCUUGUAGUC
rnacentral:rRNA from 1 species